rnacentral:rRNA from 1 species
GACGAACGCUGGCGGCGUGCUUAACACAUGCAAGUCGAACGGAAAGGCCCUGCUUUUGUGGGGUGCUCGAGUGGCGAACGGGUGAGUAAAACGUGAGUAACCUGCCCUUGACUUUGGGAUAACUUAAGGAAACUGGGGCUAAUACCGGAUAGGAGCUCCUGCUGCAUGGUGGGGGUUGGAAAGUUUCGGCGGUUGGGGAUGGACUCGCGGCUUAUCAGCUUGUUGGUGGGGUAGUGGCUUACCAGGGCUUUGACGGGUAGCCGGCCUGAGAGGGUGACCGGCCACAUUGGGACUGAGAUACGGCCCAGACUCCUACGGGAGGCAGCAGUGGGGAAUAUUGCACAAUGGGCGGAAGCCUGAUGCAGCAACGCCGCGUGCGGGAUGACGGCCUUCGGGUUGUAAACCGCUUUCGCCUGUGACGAAGCGUGAGUGACGGUAAUGGGUAAAGAAGCACCGGCUAACUACGUG